rnacentral:rRNA from 1 species
UGCAGUCGAGCGGAGUUUUGGUGCUUGCACCAAGACUUAGCGGCGGACGGGUGAGUAAUGCUUAGGAAUCUGCCUAUUAGUGGGGGACAACGUUUCGAAAGGAACGCUAAUACCGCAUACGUCCUACGGGAGAAAGCAGGGGAUCUUCGGACCUUGCGCUAAUAGAUGAGCCUAAGUCGGAUUAGCUAGUUGGUGGGGUAAAGGCCUACCAAGGCGACGAUCUGUAGCGGGUCUGAGAGGAUGAUCCGCUACACUGGGACUGAGACACGGCCCAGACUCCUACGGGAGGCAGCAGUGGGGAAUAUUGGACAAUGGGCGGAAGCCUGAUCCAGCCAUGCCGCGUGUGUGAAGAAGGCCUUUUGGUUGUAAAGCACUUUAAGCGAGGAGGAGGAGCUCUAGGUUAAUACCCUAGAAGCUUGGACGUUACUCGCAGAAUAAGCACCGGCUAACUCUGUGCCAGCAGCCGCGGUAAUACAGAGGGUGCAAGCGUUAAUCGGAUUUACUGGGCGUAAAGCGCGCGUAGGCGGCUAAUUAAGUCAAAUGUGAAAUCCCCGAGCUUAACUUGGGAAUUGCAUUCGAUACUGGUUAGCUAGAGUGUGGGAGAGGAUGGUAGAAUUCCAGGUGUAGCGGU